rnacentral:lncRNA from 12 species
AUGCUUCCCCUUCCCUCCCCGCCCCGCCCCCGUAAGCAGCGGAGGCCCAGCAGGGAGGCAGCCUGCCAUGGGCCUUCCCUCCCCGCCNNNNNNNNNNNNNNNNNNNNNNNNNNNNNNNNNNNNNNNNNNNNNNNNNNNNNNNNNNNNNNNNNNNNNNNNCGCCCCGCCCCCCCCCCCCCCCCCAGCAGCGGAGGCCCAGCAGGGAAGGAGCCUGCCAUGGGCCCUUGCUCAAGGGACCCCCACCUGGGCGGGGCCUCCUGGCUCCUGGGACUCACCAGCCUCAUCCUCAGUGUCGGCAGCCCUGGGACCCAGAGUUCUGGAAACGCUGUUUCCCUGAAGGGGAUGCAAGGAGCUUCUGUGUCCUUUCAUGUGAUCAGAAAUCCAGACUUGCCUCCAGUAGAUGAGCUGGAGAAGAUAUCAUGGGGCAUUGUAUUCAGAUCGAACUACAUAGUCAUGCUGCAGGUCUUUCCUGGGGCAGAUGUUCCAGAAUGGGUCAACUGGCAGGACAAGUUCCAGAAGAGGGUCCAUGUGUUCAACAUAACCACCCUGAGGAUUGACAACCUGACCCUGGAGGACACUGGGCUGUACCGGGCUCGAGACUCCUACACGAGAGGAAGACAAUACGACCAGGAUUUCCACCUGACUGUGUAUGAGCCUCUGCCCCUUCCCCAGAUCAGGACCACGAAUCUGUCCAUCACCCCAGGCUGGUGCAAUGUCACUGUGCAGUGUGACGCCCCGGGAACCAGGGAGGACCUGACCAUGUCCUGGGAGAGCAAGGGUCUCCCCAGGGAGCUGGAACAACGAGAGGCCACAGGACCAGCCCCCAACCCCUGGACCCUGGCUCUGAGCCUGCCCCUGAACCAGCCCAAUGCCAGCCUCACCUGUGUGCUCAGGAACCAGGUGGACCAGACAACUGCCACCUUGGACCUUGGGGACAUCUGUGGCCACAAUCCACAGGGACAGAGUGAUGCUGACCAUCUACCCGGCAUCCUGGUGACUGUUGUGGUCCUGCUGCUGAUCCUGGGAGCUGGACUGUUUCUCUGGAGGAGAGGGGUGAAGAAGAGCCUGGAGCCUGGGAGAGGUGCAGGGUCCCAGGAGGAGCAUAGGGACCCAAUGAUGGCAUCCACUCUGCAGAGCUGAGCCAGCAGGGGUCUGGACUCAGCAGGGACCAGGUCGGCUCAGCCUCAGCCUGGACACCCCUGGAUGGACUCUGCUCUCCUCCUCAUCUAUAGGACAGCAAACUACCUUCGGACCCUCGCCCCCUGGACGCACCACUGUGACUCACAGCCUCCCACCGGGACAGUCUGAAGAGCAGCCCGCGGUCAGGCUGGGCCGAGAGCUAUUCAGGGACGCGAUGCCUCCGUGGCGGUCAGCGCCGGCUGCGUGCUGCUCUGUGGCCCGCACUGCUCUGACCUCGUGCAGGCUGGGACCUCCCGGGCCUCGUGCACACGCCGUGACGUGGGGGUCUUGUGCGCAGGGUCGGGUCAGUAGAAGGAGGCCUUGGGGGCUGACUCUGGAGGCCGCGCAGCUGGGAGCGCUGGGCCGGGACCCCGCCCGGGGAUCGGGACUCCAGGGCGCGGCUCCCCAGCCCUCGGCUGUCUGUCGCGAGUCCUGGCAAAGCUCCCUUCUGUCCUGUCCUGCUGCAAAUGGCAGAGCCUCCUACUGUUCAGGAAGAAAUGGAAGUUUCUGGGUCCUACCAGUUAGCUUUUAACAGGCUGUGUUGAUUGACACCUGCCUCCCUCCUUCUCCUCUCCCUGCGGAGGAUGCUGAGGUCCUGGGGUCUCAGUGAGGAUUUCCCCCCAACUGUAGGACCUUCUCUGGGGACGUGUCCUGUGUGCAUUACUCUCCCUGGUUGUCUCUCUGACCUGUGCCCAUUCCCUGCAGCCCUCACCCCAUCUCCCUGCUCAACACCUGAGCCCGCUCCUAGGCCUCACCUCACAGGGCCCCUAGAUCACCAGGAGGUGACCCUGGUGAUACCCUUUCAUGUUCCACACCCUGUGCCCUUGGGUCCCUACUGGCCACCCUCCUUGACCCCCCCCCCCACCUGCCACCCUCCCAGGCUCCUCAGCUGCCCCUCCAGGGCCCCUCUUCCCUCACUGGUGGUGCUCCUCAGGAUUUGAGACAGCCUCCUUCCCAUCUCCUGUGUCCUUUACUUCUGGGACCCCUGCUCCC